AUGGCCGACCGCCUCGUCCUGCUCGUCCUCGUCAUCGCCGCCGCAUCCCUCACCGUAGCCUCCCCAGUCGCCGCGGCGCGUCCCUGCAACACCCUCUUCAUCUCCUCCCACUCAGCCAACGCUAACCCCAGCAACGACCCCGACCACCGCUCCCCCCUCACCACGACGGUCGUCACCGUCUUCCGCAUCCGCCGCUUCGGCCCCCAUUUCCUCCGCACCCAAGGACACGCGCAUCCCCACCUCAACCACCACCACCACCACCUACACUCCAUCCCCGCCAACAUCCAGAUCCGCCGCCCCGAGCUCCCAGAGCUUCCCCACUCUGCGACCGGCGUUGCCGUGAGCAUCCAGGAGCGCGUCAAGGACAUCCUGGUGGUCCUCGUCGGGAUCCUCUUCGGUAUCGGCUGCGGCGCGCUCACUGCUGCCUCCAUGUACCUCAUUUGGUCCGUAAUCGCCGGCCCCGGCGCGUCCUCCCACUACGACGAGCUCUACGGCGACGAGGCGUCCGACUCCGAGAGCCCCAAGAAGGUCGGCUAUGUCAUCAUCCCCGGCGUCGAGGCCUACGACGGUGGUAAGAACUAA
rnacentral:rRNA from 1 species